CGCCUGUUUAACAAAAACAUCGCCUCUUGCAAAACUAAAGAAUAAGAGGUCCCGCCUGCCCGGUGACUCUAAGUUCAACGGCCGCGGUAUUUUGACCGUGCGAAGGUAGCGUAAUCACUUGUCUCUUAAAUGGGGACCUGUAUGAAUGGCAUAACGAGGGCUUAACUGUCUCCUCUUUCAGGUCAAUGAAAUUGAUCUCCCCGUGCAGAAGCGGGGAUAAAUUCAUAAGACGAGAAGACCCUAUGGAGCUUUAGACACUAAAGCAGAUCAUGUUAAACAUCCCCCUACAAAGGAACAAAACCAAAUGAUAACCUGCCCUAAUGUCUUCGGUUGGGGCGACCACGGAGAAAUACAAAACCUCCGUGCAGACAGAAAGCACUGCUUUCACAACUAAGAGCUACCGUUCUAAUAAACAGAAAAUUCUGACUAUAUGAUCCGGCAAAACCGAUCAACGAACCAAGUUACCCUAGGGAUAACAGCGCAAUCCUCUUCUAGAGUCCAUAUCGACAAGAGGGUUUACGACCUCGAUGUUGGAUCAGGACAUCCUAAUGGUGCAGCCGCUAUUAAGGGUUCGUUUGUUCAACGAUUAAAGUCCUACGUGAUCUGAGUUCAAAACCGG
rnacentral:rRNA from 1 species